UUCAUUGUAAAUUCCCACUUGUUCUUUUCUUUUUUGCUUGUGUAUUUGCCUAAUUUUAAUUACUCUUGUUUAUUUUGAAGGAUUAGAAUUGCAAUCAGUGUAUCCUGCUUGGGAAUCGGAAAAUUGCAGAGGAGCAAGUGCCACGGCUGGAGCUCAUAGUCAUAGGCAAAGUUACUUGGUUGAUUUGUUGUAUCAAUUUGUCAAAAAGGGCACAUUGGGUGUUGGUUGUGAUUAAUGCCACUACAGGGACCUUAUUUUACUUGGAUCCUAUACAUGGUAGUUUGAAUCAACGCAAAGUCAUGAAAGAGAUGUUUGAUAAUGCAAUGAUGAUCUACCGUGCUAAUUGCAAUGACAAGAGGAUUACAUGGUCCAAAGCCAAAUGGAAUACUAUAAAGGUAUACAUAUUUACAUAACUGAAAACAAUUAGAUCUACCAAAUCACUGAUAUAUAUUAUAUUUGUUUUUUGUAGUGCCCUGC